rnacentral:rRNA from 1 species
UACAGAGGGCCCAAGCGUUGUUCGGAUUCACUGGGCGUAAAGGGUGCGUAGGCGGUCGGGUAAGUCUGAUGUGAAAUCUCCAAGCUUAACUUGGAAAUGGCAUCGGAUACUAUUCGGCUCGAGGAAUGGAGGGGAGACUGGAAUACUUGGUGUAGCAGUGAAAUGCGUAGAUAUCAAGUGGAACACCAGUGGCGAAGGCGAGUCUCUGGACAUUUCCUGACGCUGAGGCACGAAAGCCAGGGGAGCAAACGGG